rnacentral:rRNA from 1 species
UACGGAGGAGGCAAGCGUUAUCCGGAAUUAUUGGGCGUAAAGCGUCCGUAGGUGGCUCUCUCAAGUCUGCGGUCAAAGACCGGGGCUCAACCCUGGAAAGGCCGUGGAAACUGGUGAGCUAGAGUCCGGAAGAGGCAAGUGGAAUUCCCGGUGUAGCGGUGAAAUGCGCAGAUAUCGGGAGGAACACCAAUGGCGAAGGCAGCUCGCUGGGACGUUACUGACGCUGAGACGCGAAAGCGUGGGGAGCAAACAGG